UUUAGGAAACAGAUGCUAAUACCGCAAUAAAACCUAACACCGCAUGGCGUAGGUUGAAAGAUGGUUUCGGCUAUCACUUUAGGAUGGACCCGCGGUGCAUUAGUUAGUUGGUGAGGUAAAGGCUCACCAAGACCGUGAUGCAUAGCCGACCUGAGAGGGUAAUCGGCCACACUGGGACUGAGACACGGCCCAGACUCCUACGGGAGGCAGCAGUAGGGAAUCUUCCACAAUGGACGAAAGUCUGAUGGAGCAACGCCGCGUGAGUGAAGAAGGUUUUCGGAUCGUAAAACUCUGUUGUUGGAGAAGAAUGUAUCUGAUAGUAACUGAUCAGGUAGUGACGGUAUCCAACCAGAAAGCCACGGCUAACUACGUG
rnacentral:rRNA from 1 species